AUGAGGGCUUCCCUGAUCAUUUCCCUCACACCACGUUUCUUCACGUUGAAGAGUGAUGAACAUUAUUUAGGUGACAUUCCAGAGAUGAAGUGUCCUCCAGGCUUUGUGAUUGCCCUAUUCUUCAUGCUUGGGCAAACCCAUGGGGACUCAGUGAACCAGACAGAAGGCCAAGUGACCCUCUCAGAAGAGGCCUUCAUGACUAUGAACUGUACUUUCUCAACAUCAUGGACCCCCACUCUAGUCUGGUAUGUCCAGUAUCUGGGAGAAGGUCCAAAGCUCCUCCUGAAAGCCGUGACAGACAAGGAAAAGGGAAGCAACAAAGGUUUUGAAGCCACCUUGGACAAAACAUCCAGAUCCUUCCACUUGAAGAAAGGCUCGGUGCAACUGUCAGACUCAGCUGUGUACUACUGUGCCUUGAGUGACACAGUGAUAGGGACUGCAGAGGGAGCUGGGUGCAAACUCUGA